GUCAGUGAGUAUGUCUGUAGUAAGCAUGUAUGUGUGUGUCAGUGAGCAUGUCUGUAGUAAGCAUGUAUGUGUGUAUCAGUGAGCAUGUCUGUAGUAAGCAUGUAUGUGUGUAUCAGUGAGCACUUCUGUAGUAAGCAUGUAUGUGUGUAUCAGUGAGCACUUCUGUAGUAAGCAUGUAUGUGUGGGUCAGUGAGCAUGUCUGUAGUAAGCAUGUAUGUGUGCGUCAGUGAGCAUGUCUGUAGUAAGCAUGUAUGUGUGUCAGUGAGCAUGUCUGUAGUAAGCAUG